GAUGAACGCUGGCGGCGUGCCUAAUACAUGCAAGUCGAGCGAACAGACGAGGAGCUUGCUCCUUCGACGUUAGCGGCGGACGGGUGAGUAACACGUAGGUAACCUACCUAUAAGACUGGGAUAACUUCGGGAAACCGGAGCUAAUACCGGAUAAUAUUUCGAACCGCAUGGUUCGAUAGUGAAAGAUGGCUUUGCUAUCACUUAUAGAUGGACCUGCGCCGUAUUAGCUAGUUGGUAAGGUAACGGCUUACCAAGGCAUCGAUACGUAGCCGACCUGAGAGGGUGAUCGGCCACACUGGAACUGAGACACGGUCCAGACUCCUACGGGAGGCAGCAGUAGGGAAUCUUCCGCAAUGGGCGAAAGCCUGACGGAGCAACGCCGCGUGAGUGAUGAAGGUCUUCGGAUCGUAAAACUCUGUUAUUAGGGAAGAACAAACGUGUAAGUAACUGUGCACGUCUUGACGGUACCUAAUCAGAAAGCCACGGCUAACUACGUG
rnacentral:rRNA from 1 species